rnacentral:rRNA from 1 species
GUGGGGAAUAUUGGGCAAUGGGGGAAACCCUGACCCAGCAACGCCGCGUGAAGGAAGAAGGUUUUCGGAUCGUAAACUUCUAUCCUUGGUGAAGAUAAUGACGGUAGCCAAGAAGGAAGCCCCGGCUAACUACGUGCCAGCAGCCGCGGUAAUACGUAGGGGGCAAGCGUUGUCCGGAAUGAUUGGGCGUAAAGGGCGCGUAGGCGGCCUGGUAAGUCUGGAGUGAAAGUCCUGCUUUUAAGGUGGGAAUUGCUUUGGAUACUGUCGGGCUUGAGUGCAGGAGAGGUAAGCGGAAGUCCCGGUGUAGCGGUGAAAUGCGUAGAGAUCGGGAGGAACACCAGUGGCGAAGGCGGCUUACUGGACUGUAACUGACGCUGAGGCGCGAAAGUGUGGGGAGCAAACAGGAUUAGAUACCCUUGUAGUCC